UGAAAGGCGAAACGUAAUGUGAAUCGCAACUAACAGUGAAUCAUCGAAUCUUUGAACGCAGGCCGCACCUUGCAUAUCAUUCGUGAUAUUGCAAGGCAUCUAUGUAUGAGUGUCAGCCCUAAAAUCCUUGUGGUUUAAUGGUAUUAUUGUGUCCUAAAUACUAUUGAAUUCAUUAUGUGCAAGUAUCUUUGAUACAUGCAUUCCUAACAAAUGUGUCUGGCCUCAUAUGUGGAAGGUUACCCGCUGGAUUUAA
rnacentral:misc_RNA from 1 species